GGGCUAUUAGCUCAGCGGCAGAGCGCGCCCCUGCCGCGGGCGAGGUCUCUGGUUCAAGCCCAGGAUGGCCCA
rnacentral:tRNA from 1 species